UAUCGGACUACUGGGCGUAAGCGCACGCAGGCGGUUUGUUAAGUCAGAUGUGAAAUCCCCGGGCUCAACCUGGGAACUGCAUCUGAUACUGGCAAGCUUGAGUCUCGUAGAGGGGGGUAGAAUUCCAGGUGUAGCGGUGAAAUGCGUAGAGAUCUGGAGGAAUACCGGUGGCGAAGGCGGCCCCCUGGACGAAGACUUGACGCUCAGGUUGCGAAAGCGUGGGGAGCAAACAGGUAUUAGAUACCCUGGUAGUCCACGCCGUAAACGAUGUCGACUUGGAGGUUGUGCCCUUGAGGCGUGGCUUCCGGAGCUAACGCGUUAAGUCGACCGCCUGGGGAGUACGGCCGCAAGGUUAAAACUCAAAUGAAUUGACGGGGGCCCGCACAAGCGGUGGAGCAUGUGGUUUAAUUCGAUGCAACGCGAAGAACCUUACCUGGUCUUGACAUCCACGGAAGUUUUCAGAGAUGAGAAUGUGCCUUCGGGAACCGUGAGACAGGUGCUGCAUGGCUGUCGUCAGCUCGUGUUGUGAAAUGUUGGGUUAAGUCCCGCAACGAGCGCAACCCUUAUCCUUUGUUGCCAGCGGUCCGGCCGGGAACUCAAAGGAGACUGCCAGUGAUAAACUGGAGGAAGGUGGGGAUGACGUCAAGUCAUCAUGGCCCUUACGNGGAUGGGCUACACACGUGCUACAAUGGCGCGUACAAAGGGCAGCGAACCUNGCGANAGGUAAGCGAAUCUCAUAAAGCGCGUUCGUAGUCCGGAUUGGAGUCUGCAACUCGACUCCAUGAAGUCGGAAUCGCUAGUAAUCGUGGAUCAGAAUGCCACGGUGAAUACGUUCCCGGGGCCUUGUACACACCGCCCGUCACACCAUGGGAGUGGGUUGCAAAAGAAGUAAGUAGCUUAACCUUCGGGAGGGCGCUUACCACUUUGUGAUUCAUGACUGGGGGUGAAGUCGUAACAAGGUACCCGU
rnacentral:rRNA from 1 species